rnacentral:tRNA from 1 species
UCUAAUAUGGCAGAAUAGUGCAAUGGACUUAAACCCCAUUUAUAAAGGACACCCUUUUUUUAGAA